ensembl:lncRNA
CUUCCCUCAUUGGGAACAUACCAGGGAGACUUAAGCAUCAGUAGUGCACUCGGUGAAGUCCCAUAGUAGAGAAGUGAUGUGAGACGAGUUGUACAGGGGAGCAUACAGAAAUGCUGAGGAACUGCUCAGAAACAUGGACAUCGCUGAGGUUGGGGAAGACAUGAUGGAUGACUCCAGCAGGGCACCUAGGCUGUAUUUCCCAUGGUGCUCCAAAAGUAAAAGGAAGAAUGAAUUGGAUUUCUCUGAUGGAUGUUCUUAAAGGCUCACAAUAACAGGCAAGCUGUCUGGAGAUCACCUGCACUUGUGAGCAGCGAUAGUGAGAGGGAUGAAGCCAUUUCUGCUACUAUUAGAGUUAAUGGGGGACAUGACUGGGCAGGAACCAUCCCAGGAGCGGACCUACAAAGGUAAAGUAUUCCCUAUGUCAAUGUUCUCUGUCUCUAGGAUAGAGAACAUUAUUAUGCUUCUGGCCCGACACUUGUUUAUGUAAAAUAAGUCUCAAAGGAGAGAGAGCAGCUCAGUGUUUGCUUCCCAAUAUUGCAGCCUUACCUGCAGUAAAUUGCUGCAAGACACAGGGCCCCUGGCAGUGAGGGGUGUCCUCAGCAAUGGAG